rnacentral:rRNA from 1 species
UACGUAGGGCGCAAGCGUUGUCCGGAAUUAUUGGGCGUAAAGAGCUCGUAGGCGGCUUGUCACGUCGGGUGUGAAAGCCCGGGGCUUAACCCCGGGUCUGCAUUCGAUACGGGCUGGCUAGAGUGUGGUAGGGAGAUCGGAAUUCCUGGUGUAGCGGUGAAAUGCGCAGAUAUCAGGAGGAACACCGGUGGCGAAGGCGGAUCUCUGGGCCAUUACUGACGCUGAGGAGCGAAAGCGUGGGGAGCGAACAGG